CUGACACUGAUAACAGCUUAUGUUUUCUCUGCCCUAUGUACCGACAUGAUGGAGAAGGAACAUCCUCUGUGUCAGCUGGACCCUCAGCAGAGAAUGAACUCAACAUCCUUUUUGUCCGGUACUCUAUGUCACACACUGUGCCAAAAAAAAAACGUGUACAGACGCCACUAACAGACUUUUUCAGGCUAUACAGCUGCCAUCGGCCGUUGCAGUUGUAAAAACGACAGGACACAGUACAGCUGACACAGACGAAGCAACAGGUAAUGCCUUAGCAGACGUGACAGCCAAGGCUGCAGCUGCAUCACAGCUCCCACCUCCGCAGGAAGUAUUAUCUGUGCCCCUACAGCUGCCACUUGUUACACUCCCAGACUAUUUAGAAACAAAUGUUGAUUUAAAAUUCAUACAAGAGCAAGCCUCUGCAUGUGAUUACACCUAUUGGGAGAAUAAUGACUGCACCUUAGAUGACAGAGAUGGCCUAUACUAAAUCUUAAGGGUUUGAUUGCCCUCCCAUAUUCCCUGAUGCCAGUCCUUGCCCGACAUUUUCACUGUGUGAGUCAUGUCGGACAAAGAGGGGUAAUAGGGGCAAUAAAAUCAAGAUUUGUAAUUGAGAAAACAUUGCAUGCAGUAAAAAGCAUAUUAGCAACCUGUCUAACAUGUGCGCGAACUAAUGUAGGUAGCUCAAAAGCAAAACAUCAGCAUUUACCACAACCAGAUUUUCCAUUUCAUACAUUACAAAUUGAUUUUACACAUAUGCCAGCACAAGGAAGUAUCAAGUACUUACUGGUAAUAGUGGAUCAAUUUAGUAAAUGAGUAGAAGCUUAUCCAACCUCAAAAGAAACUGCAGAAGUAGUCUGUCAAAAGUUGAGCAAUGAAAUAAUACCCAGAUUCGGAAUACCUCACCAGAUUAACAGUGAUAGAGGAUCUUCAUUCACAUUAGAAGUAAUUCAAAAGUGUGCUAAAACUUUAAUGACCUGUGUCAAAUUACUUACUCAAGUCCUGUGUGAGAUUAGAAUGACUCAAUCUGAAGUAACCAAAUUAUUUCCAUUUGAAAUAAGACUAUUUCCAAGACCAUGGUCAGCUUCCAGAGGGGCACCGCUAGUAGAAGGUGAUGUAUAUUGCAUUGUCCACUGAUGUUCACAACCUGAUAGAAAAACUGAAUAAUAACUAUCAGAAAGUUUGUCUCUCUCAGCUUUUCCCCUCCACAGUUCCACCAGUGGAGACAAGGAGAUGCAUGUUGGAGAAGCCACUAAAACCAAGGACUCUCUGGGAGGCCGCGCGUGUUCCAGCCCCCAGACUGUACUGGCAGUGACGAAGAACCAGCAUCCUCACAGACGGACAACCUCAGUGGAUUCAUGCCAGCAGGGUUAAGACCAGCCCAAUCGGACCAUCUCAGGCGUCGGAUCAAGCAGACGACAUCUCCGGCGAGCCAGCGCCCGGAACUAGAGCAAAUAAACACACACGGGUAGAUGACAUCUCCGGCGAGCCAGCGCCAGGAUCCAAUGUACACACACACAAUCACUGAUUAACACACAACGUCUGAAAGAGCAACAACAAGGUACUCAAACAUCCAGCAGGAACAGAAAGCCAAAAGUACCACAUGAUGUCUAACCUGAUAAAGCCAGACUCAUUUCAUCCUGAUAAUGGAGAAAAUGAAAUGCCCAUUGUCAUCAUACGACGCUUAUUCUAUGUCUCUCGAACCUGGGACCAGGCCAGAAGACGACUGAAGAACUGUCUUUUUUAUAUAUUUAGGUUAUUAAUCAUAUCUACUGCAUUAACCUUAGGAUUUUUAUUUACUAUUUCAUAUUGUAAAGUGCAACCCUGUUCACAUUUCUGCAAGCCACAUUUUCAAUGAUAACCCAUAUAGCUACCAGUACAGCCACUUCAAUGUAUUUGCAAUUAGCACAAAUUGAUCCUGAGGAUGUGCCAGAUGUUACCAAUGAUGUUCCUGAUGUGUAUAUUGAACAUUAGGUUGUGAACUAUUACAUUUUAUGAUUUGCUUUUUAUAUUAUGUUAUUACAUUUGUGAUUUUUCCUUUCUAUUUGAGUUAUUAUUUUUAAAAAAUAAUAAAAGAGGGGAACUGUUAGGUAUUUUAGUACCACGGUUAGCAUUUACAGAAGAUUGUUUUAUACAGAAAAGAGUUGCUCAAUAAGGCCCAUCUACUAGUUGUUUUUCUCUUUCUCUGUGACCCAAGAAUUAAUGUGAGACUCACAAGCUGGUACCUCAAGGUCGAAAACACCACAGAGAUGAGACCACUUCUUUACUCCCAUCCUCCCUUUUCCUUAUCUCCUGGAAAAGGCUCGUUAAAGGCUAGGUGGUUCGUUUCAGAAUUCACUAAUGAAAGAACUCUGUAUUUUAUGUCUAGGAGUGUAUUUUGCUGGGAUGAUCAUAAAUUGUAGCUGAGCUGAUAAACUACACACAGGAUACUUCUUUGUUCACAAGGCAGGAAGACGUUUCCUUAUUUGGUCUGUACCGGUUUGAACUGGGAAAGCUGACACACGAACCUUUUUUCAUCUAUAUAAACUGC
ensembl:lncRNA